UCCGAGUCGAUGAUGUAUAUUUCUGCGUUAUCUUUCUGCAAGCCUGCAUAGGCCUGGAGAUAUCUUACUUGACCUGAGAUUUGGA
rnacentral:snoRNA from 1 species